rnacentral:rRNA from 1 species
GAUGAACGCCGGCGGCGUGCCUAAUACAUGCAAGUCGAGCGAACGGACGAGAAGCUUGCUUCUCUGAUGUUAGCGGCGGACGGGUGAGUAACACGUGGAUAACCUACCUAUAAGACUGGGAUAACUUCGGGAAACCGUAGCUAAUACCGGAUAAUAUUUUGAACCGCAUGGUUCAAAAGUGAAAGACGGUCUUGCUGUCACUUAUAGAUGGAUCCGCGCUGCAUUAGCUAGUUGGUAAGGUAACGGCUUACCAAGGCAACGAUGCAUAGCCGACCUGAGAGGGUGAUCGGCCACACUGGAACUGAGACACGGUCCAGACUCCUACGGGAGGCAGCAGUAGGGAAUCUUCCGCAAUGGGCGAAAGCCUGGCGGAGCAACGCCGCGUGAGUGAUGAAGGUCUUCGGAUCGUAAAACUCUGUUAUUAGGGAAGAACAUAUGUGUAAGUAACUGUGCACAUCUUGACGGUACCUAAUCAGAAAGCCACGGCUAACUACGUG